UAUGGAGUAAACUAAUAAAGUUUUAAGAUUCAUACUCUUACCAUGGUCUAAUCGCCCUCCAUAA
rnacentral:tRNA from 1 species